rnacentral:rRNA from 1 species
UCAGCAGCCGCGGUAAUACAGAGGGUGCAAGCGUUAUUCGGAAUUACUGGGCGUAAAGCGCGCGUAGGCGGACUGUUAAGUCGGUUGUGAAAGCCCUGGGCUCAACCUAGGAACUGCAUCCGAUACUGGCAAUCUAGAGUUUAAGAGAGGGAAGUGGAAUUCCAGGUGUAGCAGUGAAAUGCGUAGAUAUCUGGAGGAACAUCAGUGGCGAAGGCGACUUCCUGGCUUAAAACUGACGCUGACGGUGCGAAAGCUUGGGUAGCGAACGGGAUUAGAUACCCCGGUAGUCCAAGCCGUAAACGAUGUCAACUAGCUGUUGGUCUUAUUAAAAGGAUUAGUAGCGGUCSNMGCGAUAAGUGACCGCCUGGGGAGU